rnacentral:rRNA from 1 species
UACGUAGGGACCGAGCGUUGUCCGGAUUCAUUGGGCGUAAAGGGCGCGUAGGCGGCUGUUCAAGUCGGGGGUGAAAGCCUGUGGCUCAACCACAGGAUGGCCUUCGAUACUGGACGGCUCGAGACCGGAAGAGGUCAGUGGAACUGCGAGUGUAGAGGUGAAAUUCGUAGAUAUUCGCAAGAACACCAGUGGCGAAGGCGGCUGACUGGUCCGGUUCUGACGCUGAGGCGCGAAAGCGUGGGGAGCAAACAGG